CAGAACAGUUCCUACUAGACCAGGCCCAGAUCCUGAACAGUUCCUACUAGACCAGGACCAGAUCCAGAACAGUUUCUACUAGACCAGGGCCAGAUCCAGAACAGUUCCUACUAGACCAGGGGCAGAUCCAGAACAGUUCCUACUAGACCAGGGGCAGAUCCAGAACAGUUUCUACUAGACCAGGGCCAGAUCCAGAACAGUUCCUACUAGACCAGGGUCAGAUCCAGAACAGUUCCUACUAGACCAGGGUCAGAUCCAGAACAGUUCCUACUAGACCAGGCUCAGAUCCAGAACAGUUCCUACUAGACCAGGGUCAGAUCCAGAACAGUUCCUACUAGACCAGGGGCAGAUCCAGAACAGUUCCUACUAGACCAGGCUCAGAUCCAGAACAGUUCCUACUAGACCAGGGUCAGAUCCAGAACAGUUCCUACUAGACCAGGGCCAGAUCCAGAACAGUUCCUACUAGACCAGGGCCAGAUCCAGAACAGUUCCUACUAGACCAGGGGCAGAUCCAGAACAGUUCCUACUAGACCAGGGUCAGAUCCAGAACAGUUCCUACUAGACCAGGGGCAGAUCCAGAACAGUUCCUACUAGACCAGGCUCAGAUCCAGAACAGUUCCUACUAGACCAGGGGCCAGAUCCAGAACAGUUCCUACUAGACCAGGGCCAGAUCCAGAACAGUUCCUACUAGACCAGGGCCAGAUCCAGAACAGUUCCUACUAGACCAGGGUCAGAUCCAGAACAGUUCCUACUAGACCAGGCCCAGAUCCAGAACAGUUCCUACUAGACCAGGGCCAGAUCCAGAACAGUUUCUACUAGACCAGGGCCAGAUCCAGAAGAGUUCCUACUAGACCAGGGCCAGAUCCAGAACAGUUCCUACUAGACCAGGGCCAGAUCCAGAACAGUUCCUACUAGACCAGGGCCAGAUCCAGAACAGUUCCUACUAGACCAGGGGCAGAUCCAGAACAGUUCCUACUAGACCAGGGCCAGAUCCAGAACAGUUUCUACUAGACCAGGCCCAGAUCCAGAACAGUUCCUACUAGACCAGGGCCAGAUCCAGAACAGUUCCUACUAGACCAGGGCCAGAUCCAGAACAGUUCCUACUAGACCAGGGCCAGAUCCAGAACAGUUCCUACUAGACCAGGCCCAGAUCCAGAACAGUUCCUACUAGACCAGGGCCAGAUCCAGAACAGUUCCUACUAGACCAGGCCCAGAUCCAGAACAGUUCCUACUAGACCAGGGCCAGAUCCAGAACAGUUCCUACUAGACCAGGGCCAGAUCCAGAACAGUUCCUACUAGACCAGGGCCAGAUCCAGAACAGUUCCUACUAGACCAGGGCCAGAUCCAGAACAGUUCCUACUAGACCAGGACCAGAUCCAGAACAGUUCCUACUAGACCAGGGCCAGAUCCAGAACAGUUCCUACUAGACCAGGGCCAGAUCCAGAACAGUUCCUACUAGACCAGGGCCAGAUCCAGAACAGUUCCUACUAGACCAGGCCCAGAUCCAGAACAGUUCCUACUAGACCAGGGCCAGAUCCAGAACAGUUCCUACUAGACCAGGGCCAGAUCCAGAACAGUUCCUACUAGACCAGGGCCAGAUCCAGAACAGUUCCUACUAGACCAGGGCCAGAUCCAGAACAGUUCCUACUAGACCAGGGCCAGAUCCAGAACAGUUCCUACUAGACCAGGGCCAGAUCCAGAACAGUUCCUACUAGACCAGGGCCAGAUCCAGAACAGUUCCUACUAGACCAGGCCCAGAUCCAGAACAG
rnacentral:lncRNA from 1 species